rnacentral:misc_RNA from 1 species
GAUGAAGAACGCAGCGAAAUGCGAUAAGUAAUGUGAAUUGCAGAAUUCAGUGAAUCAUCGAGUCUUUGAACGCACAUUGCGCCCCCUGGUAUUCCGGGAGGCAUGCCUGUCCGAGCGUCAUUGCUGCCCUCAAGCACGGCUUGUGUGUUGGGCCCCGCCCCCCGGCUCCCGGGGGGCGGGCCCGAAAGGCAGCGGCGGCACCGCGUCCGGUCCUCGAGCGUAUGGGGCUUCGUCACCCGCUCCGUAGGCCCGGCCGGCGCCCGCCGGCGACCCCCCUCAAUCUUUUCAGGUUGACCUCGGAUCAGGUAGGGAUACCCGCUGAACUUAAGCAUAUCAAUAAGCGGAGGA